rnacentral:lncRNA from 1 species
CGUGGGGAGAGCCUCUGCCGCUUCUUCUUCUUUGUGUCCCCCAGCCGGGGGGAGGAGACAAAAUCUAGUUUCAGACUCCACCCCCAACCUCGGGACACUCUGCUUCUUCUAGGUGGAAGCCCAGGAGACCCAGCAUGUCCCAGGAGAUGAGGGCCCCAGAGGAACUCAGUCCCAGCCCCUGGAAACCCGUUUCAUUGUUUCCACAACAGCACCAGCCCAGAAACAAGGCAGGAGACUCAACGGGGAGGCAGACUUUGCCAAGUCGCUUUCCUGUCUCAGGGACCUCAGCCUCUUUCCAACUUAAGAUCAAAGAAUUUUCAGAAUAUAAGAGCCCCUGGAAACGACCUGGUGCAAGCUCCUUGAUGUACAAAAGUGGAAAUCGGGGCCCAGAUAGAGAUCCCCUCAGGACAGAUCACUGCCCAGCCUCAUCUUCCAGGCUCGAACUUGCCCAUGUGCAGUUUCCUCCUGUUGGUUCCAGUCGUCUGUCAAUUGUCCUGGGAAGGCAAGGAGCUCAAGGGUGA